ensembl:lncRNA
AUUCCAUGGACUGCAUAAGUCCAUGGGGUUGCAAAGAGUUGGACACAACUGGGCGACUUUCACUUCACUUCACUUGAAUCCCAAUCAGGAUUGCAACAGUAGAGGAUAGUGGACGGACUGCAAGGGCCAGGAUACAAGGAACCGAAGCACGGACAAGGAAAAGUGAUACCAGGACACAGUGGGAAGUAACAGCGUUUGACUAAAGUACAGAAUACAUGCUGCAGAAAAGGUGAGAAGUGACCCUGAAGGUUCCUGGAAGCUGACACUGGAACCCUAUACACGUCUGGGGAUUCCCAAGCUGCCAGUGUAAUUGCCAUCAGUAAAUAUUUAAGGGACAAAUGAAAAGAGAGGGAAGAGGACAGGGCAGCAGGAAAGAGACAAGGAAGCAAGAAAGAAAGGGAAGAGAGAGCAAAGUGAUAAUGACCACUGGCGUGAACGUUGGCAAAUCACAAACAGUAGGCAAAUUUCUUAAAGGAUCCAGGUUGUCUCAAUGGAAAGAGGAACAGGUUACUGGAGUGUUUGCAAACAGAUGGAGAAGUCUGAAGUCUGGUCCUGAGAGACGACAUGCAGAGAGAGAAACGACCGAGACCAGCUUUCCGGCCAAGGAGCUGGACACAAGAGUGAUGCUCUCUUGGACCCUCCAGACCAUCUCAACCUACCAGCUGAACAGCACUGAGUGACUCUAGUUGGGUGUUUUGCUGAAUAGAAGAAUCAUUCAGCUGAACCUGGGGCUGAUCCACCUAACUGCAGCUAAGUCCAAGUUCUCAACCUCCACGAUGAAGAGGUAAUAAAAUUGUUGUCAUUUGAAGCCAUUAAGU